AUGAAUCAAUCCCAAAAUAUAAGCCAACAAGCAGGCCAAGCCACUGGUCAAGCUCAGGAAAAGGGAAGCAAUAUGAUGGACAAGGCAAGCAAUGUUGCUCAAUCUACCAAAGAAUAUUGCCAAGAGGCUGGUCAACUAAUGAAAGAAAAGGCACAAGAGGCUGCGGAUGCUGCAAGAAGCACAUAUGAUGCUAAAAAAUAA